AAUUCUCAAAACCCCUUCCUUUGCCGGAAUGGAUUUUGGACUUGGAGGCCUUUUGCUGGUUUCACCUCGAAGCCAGCUCCUCCUAAAUGGAUUAGUGGGGUCUGCUUUGCCGAUCCUUGACGUGAUAAGAUGCUUCUACGUCUCGGGUUUUGGCACUGUGCCUCUGCUUCUACCCGUCUCUUUUGACGACGAUGGUGUCCCGGUCACCGCCGAUUCUUCGGUGGGAGGCUUGACCCACAAAACGA
rnacentral:misc_RNA from 1 species